ACGAAUAUGCCGAAAUUGGUAGCCGGGUGAGUUUUAGGUACUCAUGAUUAUUUUAAUUGUAAGAGUUCAAGUCUCUUUAUUCGUA
rnacentral:tRNA from 1 species